rnacentral:rRNA from 1 species
AGAGUUUGAUCCUGGCUCAGAUUGAACGCUGGCGGCAGGCUUAACACAUGCAAGUCGAGCGGGGGAAGGUAGCUUGCUACCGGACCUAGCGGCGGACGGGUGAGUAAUGCUUAGGAAUCUGCCUAUUAGUGGGGGACAACAUCUCGAAAGGGAUGCUAAUACCGCAUACGUCCUACGGGAGAAAGCAGGGGAUCUUCGGACCUUGCGCUAAUAGAUGAGCCUAAGUCGGAUUAGCUAGUUGGUGGGGUAAAGGCCUACCAAGGCGACGAUCUGUAGCGGGUCUGAGAGGAUGAUCCGCCACACUGGGACUGAGACACGGCCCAGACUCCUACGGGAGGCAGCAGUGGGGAAUAUUGGACAAUGGGGGGAACCCUGAUCCAGCCAUGCCGCGUGUGUGAAGAAGGCCUUAUGGUUGUAAAGCACUUUAAGCGAGGAGGAGGCUACUUUAGUUAAUACCUAGAGAUAGUGGACGUUACUCGC